rnacentral:lncRNA from 1 species
UGAGCAAAAACGGGAAAGAAAACAUGAAAUCUUUGAACAAAAAAUUCGAUUUCUAUUGGAUGGAUGUUUCCCGCACUUUUGUAUAAUAGUGAAUUAUUAUUAAUUAUAAUUGGUUGAAUUGCAAUUUCCCGAAGACAUGAAUUGGUAGAGACCACCAUCGGAUCUCACUUCGCCAUACUUUUCCUUUUUGGGGAGAUUGCAAGAAAAUGCAUGGAGAAAUGUAUAUAAACAAACGGUUAGGCGAAUAAUUCCGAGUAGUUUCGGUAAAGGUGAUCUGUUUCUACCUUCAUUUUAGUGAUUAGUAAGACUAGAGGAAGCUUCUUAUUUCGUUUCACCACUGGCCCAAAUUUCCAAAAUGCGCAUUCAAAUUACCACCUGAAGAUCGUUAAUAAAGCAUCAUGAAUAUUGGUAAAAUCGGUACUUAACUUCAGCUCUUUUUCAAGUACCUAUAGACAAAAUGCAUGAAAAAAUCAGCAUCAUAUAUGUUUUAUCAAUUUUUCGCUUUACCAAUGGUCUGAGUUGAGUUGAGAAAUUAGUAUCCUCUAGAUAUCCGAGCUGUGGGUCGACUGGAUGAUAAUUAUCGUUUUUCCAUCUGCUUGUUUAACGCAUUUAAAUAUGAUAGCAUAAAUUCCGCGUUAGCGACGCAAGUGCGCAAAUUAUCAAUUCCGAGCUUCAUAUAUUUAAAUGUUGAUUUUGAAAAGGAUUUUUUGUGUUUUGCGGCCAUUAUCAAUAUAGAACAUCAUGGCUAAACUACGUCGCCUCAACGAACUGUCGGAGACGGAAGUGCAAAGUGAGAUUGCAUCAAUUGAUGCCGUUCUGUUUGAUGUGGAUGGAGUUUUGCUGUCCGAUAAAGCGGUGCUUCCUGGAGCCGAAGCUACAGUGCAAAAGUUGAGGGCUUUGGGCAAACAGAUUGGAUUUGUCAC